rnacentral:rRNA from 1 species
CACGCAGGCGGUCUGUCAAGUCGGAUGUGAAAUCCCCGGGCUCAACCUGGGAACUGCAUUCGAAACUGGCAGGCUAGAGUCUUGUAGAGGGGGGUAGAAUUCCAGGUGUAGCGGUGAAAUGCGUAGAUAUAUGGAGGAACACCGGUGGCGAAAGCGGCUCUCUGGCCUGUAACUGACACUGAGGCUCGAAAGCGUGGGGGAGCAAACA